GGGAUUAUAGUUAACCAUAACAUUUAAUUUGCAAUUAAAAAGUAUUUAAAUAAAUUUUUCUCA
rnacentral:tRNA from 1 species